UACGUAGGGGGCAAGCGUUGUCCGGAAUCAUUGGGCGUAAAGCGCGUGUAGGCGGCCUUGUAAGUCCGUUGUGAAAGCCCCGGGCUCAACCUGGGAAUGGCAGUGGAAACUAGGGGACUGGAAUCUGGCAGAGGGGGGUGGAAUGUCGCGUGUAGCAGUGAAAUGCGUAGAGAUGCGGCGGAACACCGAUGGCGAAGGCAGCCCCCUGGGCUGAGAUUGACGCUCAGGCACGAAAGCGUGGGGAGCAAACAGG
rnacentral:rRNA from 1 species